rnacentral:rRNA from 1 species
AGUGAACGCUGGCGGUAGGCCUAACACAUGCAAGUCGAACGGCAGCACAGGAGAGCUUGCUCUCUGGGUGGCGAGUGGCGGACGGGUGAGGAAUACAUCGGAAUCUACCUUUUCGUGGGGGAUAACGUAGGGAAACUUACGCUAAUACCGCAUACGACCUACGGGUGAAAGUGGGGGACCGCAAGGCCUCACGCGAUUAGAUGAGCCGAUGUCCGAUUAGCUAGUUGGCGGGGUAAUGGCCCACCAAGGCGACGAUCGGUAGCUGGUCUGAGAGGAUGAUCAGCCACACUGGAACUGAGACACGGUCCAGACUCCUACGGGAGGCAGCAGUGGGGAAUAUUGGACAAUGGGCGCAAGCCUGAUCCAGCCAUACCGCGUGGGUGAAGAAGGCCUUCGGGUUGUAAAGCCCUUUUGUUAGGAAAGAAAUCCUGUCGAUUAAUACUCGGUGGGGAUGACGGUACCCAAAGAAUAAGCACCGGCUAACUUCGUGCCAGCCGCCGCGGUAAUAC